rnacentral:misc_RNA from 1 species
GAUGAAGAACGUAGCGAAAUGCGAUAAGUAAUGUGAAUUGCAGAAUUCAGUGAAUCAUCGAAUCUUUGAACGCACAUUGCGCCCGCCAGUAUUCUGGCGGGCAUGCCUGUUCGAGCGUCAUUACAACCCUCAGGCCCCCGGGCCUGGCGUUGGGGAUCGGCGGAAGCCCCCUGCGGGCACAACGCCGUCCCCCAAAUACAGUGGCGGUCCCGCCGCAGCUUCCAUUGCGUAGUAGCUAACACCUCGCAACUGGAGAGCGGCGCGGCCACGCCGUAAAACACCCAACUUCUGAAUGUUGACCUCGAAUCAGGUAGGAAUACCCGCUGAACAUAAGCAUAUCAAUAAGCGGAGGA